GCGUUACCGCCAGAGUUCAAGAACGUGCUUCGGCCUGCGAGCCUCAGCAAGGGCCAGAGCGCAGCCCCAGCCCAGGCCGCCAUGCCGCUGCCGCCGGGACACGCGCAGAGGGCGGUUUAGUAACAGAUGCGGGGUGCCGGCGCUACGGCGACAGCGCCAUGGCACGACGGAAUGUGUGUGUCCAUCCCCUCCCCCCGCCCCGGGGCGGCAUUUCGGGGAUUUUUUCCUUCAAAUAACUUCCUGCCUCCCCUCUUCCGCCUUCGGUUGGGUUGCACAGAGUUCCUGCUCAAAGGAGGCCAGUUUACUAGCACGUGCUCAUUUGGUUUCAGAAGUUUUUCUAGUUCAUUGUCAUCACUGGGAAGGUCCUGUAUCCAUGAAGUCUCUCCAAUUUGCAGACUGUAUUAAUCAUCUCACAGGCAGCAAGAUGUACAAUUGCAGCCAUGAAAAACCAACCCAGAAUAACCCAGGACAACUGACUGGAUGAGGUAUGACACAUUCUGGCAGUGGAAAACUUGACGUGCAAAAGAACUGACAGGCUGAGGACUGGAAGAGAGCUGUGCUGCUUCAUGAAGAAUAAUAACGAGGAGAACCCAGACCCAAUUAUACAGCUAAUUCCUUUGCUUACAUAAACCAGUAUUUUAAAAGCAAAGGACCAUUUCUGGGAUUUUUAAAGCCCUGAAGUUGCACAGUGGGAGAAGGGAACAAGUCAUACUCUGUGCUUUAUUUUUCUAAUUAAGCUGAUAUGCCUUACAUGAAUGCGUGAAAUAUAACAUACAUUAUUAAACUCUACUGGAAAUGUAACCUGUUCAUUGAAGUGCUUCCAUUAUACUCACAGAAGAUAUUUUCUACUUUAAAAUUAUUAAAUUAUAGAAAACCU